rnacentral:lncRNA from 1 species
AUUAGAACACAUUCAUUCUGUGUCAGAAACCUAUGCUGUGUCAACUAUUUAAUCACAAUCCAAAUUUAGAGCUGAAUCCAGCUUGAAUGUUGUGUCCAUACUUGCCCCAACCGUUCAGGGUUCAACCUCUGCGGUCGUAUAAAGCUACGCCCUGCGGAGCAUCUGGUUUUUUUUUAGUUUAUCCUGACUUUUUUUUACCUAAAUUGUCGUCCUGACUUUUUUUUUUUGCAAGUGUCUCAUCCUGCCUUUUUUUUUACUCAAAACUCCUGUCCUAC